GCAGGUUGAAGCGCGGGUAAGACCGCGUGGAGGACCGAACCCACCUGGGUUGAAAACCGGGGGGAUGACCUGGGGCUAGGGGUGAAAGGCCAAUCAAAUUCCGUGAUAGCUGGUUCUCUCCGAAAUGCAUUUAGGUGCAGCGUCGGUCGAUUGCGUCGCGGGGGUAGAGCUACCGGAUGCUUGCGGGCCCUUGUUGGGUACCAACAGCAGCCGAACUCCGAAUACCGUUGACGUGUAUUCCGGCAGUGAGUCGGCGGGGGAUAAGCUCCGUCGUCGAGAGGGAGACAGCCCAGACCGUCGUCUAAGGUCCCGAAGCGUGUGCUAAGUGGGAAAGGAUGUGGAGUCGCAUAGACAGCCAGGAGGUUGGCUCAGAAGCAGCCAUCCUUGAAAGAGUGCGUAACAGCUCACUGGUCUAGUGGUUCCGCGCCGACAAUGUAGCGGGGCUCAAGCACACCACCGAAGACGCGGCAGCAAUCUUCAUGGUUGCUGGGUAGGAGAGCGUCCUGCGAGGGGCGAAGCGGCGGUGGAAACCGGCCGUGGACUUCGUGGGAGUGAGAAUGCAGACAUGAGUAGCGAGAGACGGGUGAGGAUCCCGUCCGCUGGAUGACCAAGGGUUCCGGGGCCACGUUCGUCGUCCCCGGGUGAGUCGGGUCCUAAGGCGAGGCCGACAGGCGUAGUCGAAUGGAUGAACGGGUGGAUAUUCCCGUACCGACCAUGGACCGGCAAAACCGAGACGGUGAGUACUAACCUCCGCCUCGUGGUGGUUCCUUCCUUCGGGUUGGUUCCGUCGCGUGGUGUUGGGAGCGUAGCCGCAGUAGGUCAGCGCAGGGGUGACACGGAAUGGGAGCCGGCCGCGGAGGUGGUUUUCCGUGGUCAAGCACGCAGCCAGUCAUGUAGGCAAAUCCGCAUGGCGCGCAUGGCGAGGUGUGAUGAUGGGAGCCGUUAUGGCUCGAUAUCCGGUUGUCCAGGCCGUCGAGAAAAGCCUCGGCGUGAGGGCCAUGGCCGCCCGUACCCCAAACCGACACUGGUGGUCAGGUAGAGAAUACCAAGGCGAUCGAGCGAAUCCUGGUCAAGGAACUCGGCAAAUCACUCCCGUGCCUUCGGUAUAAGGGAGACCCGCUGGGGUGAACCGGCUAGCCCGGGGAGCUUUGGUGGGUGGCACAGACCAGGGGGUAGCGACUGUUUACCAAAAACACAGGUGCAUGCGAAGGCGAAAGCCGCUGUAUAUGCACUGACGCCUGCCCGGUGCCGGAAGGUUAAGAGGAUCCGUCAAUCCCUUCGGGGACGAAGCGGUGAAUUCAAGCCCCGGUAAACGGCGGUGGUAACUAUAACCAUCCUAAGGUAGCGAAAUUCCUUGUCGGGUAAGUUCCGACCUGCACGAAUGGCGUAACGACUU
rnacentral:rRNA from 1 species